rnacentral:rRNA from 1 species
GUUGCCAAGCCGCGAGGUGGAGCUAAUCCCACAAAACCGAUCGUAGUCCGGAUCGCAGUCUGCAACUCGACUGCGUGAAGUCGGAAUCGCUAGUAAUCGCGAAUCAGAAUGUCGCGGUGAAUACGUUCCCGGGCCUUGUACACACCGCCCGUCACACCAUGGGAGUGGGUUGCACCAGAAGUAGCUAGUCUAACCUUCGGGGGGACGGUUACCACGGUGUGAUUCAUGACUGGGGUGAAGUCGUAACAAGGUAGCCGUAGGGGAACCUGCGGCUGGAUCACCUCCUUAAUCGACGAC